rnacentral:rRNA from 1 species
GACGAACCGUGCGAACGUUAUUCGGAAUCACUGGGCUUAAAGGGCGCGUAGGCGGGUCGGUAAGUCAGGGGUGAAAUCCCACGGCCCAACCGUGGAAGUGCCUCUGAUACUGCCGGCCUCGAGGGGGAUAGGGGCGUGCGGAACUCAGGGUGGAGCGGUGAAAUGCGUAGAUAUCAUCUGGAACGCCAAUGGUGAAAACAGCUCGCUGGGGGUGUGCAGACGCUGAGACACGAAAGCCAGGGGAGCGAACGGG